GGGUAGGGAUACCCGCUGAACUUAAGCAUAUCAAUAAGCGGAGGAAAAGAAACCAACAGGGAUUGCCUCAGUAACGGCGAGUGAAGCGGCAAAAGCUCAGAUUUGAAAGCUCACACCUUUGGUGUUUGCAUUGUAAUCUGUAGAGGAGUGUUCAAGUAUAGCUCUGACCCAAGUUCUUUGGAACAAGGCAUCAUGGAGGGUGAGAAUCCUGUUCAUGGUCGUUGUCUUAUGCUUGUGUGAACCUCCUUCAAUGAGUCGAGUUGUUUGGGAAUGCAGCUCUAAAUGGGUGGUAUAUUUCAUCUAAAGCUAAAUAUUAGCAGGAGACCGAUAGCGCACAAGUAGAGUGAUCGAAAGAUGAAAAGCACUUUGGAAAGAGAGUCAAACAGUACGUGAAAUUGUUGAAAGGGAAGCACUUGCACCCAGACUUGCUUACAGUUGAUCAAUUGUCAUUUUUGAUAGUGCACUUAAUUGUAUGCAGGCCAGCAUCAGUUAGAGUGGUGGGGCAAAGGUGUAGAGAAUGUAGCUCCUCUGGGAGUAUUAUAGCUCUACAUGUCAUGUCACCUGCUCUGACUGAGGGUCGCACUUUGGUGAGGAUGCUGGCUUAAUGGGUGCAAGUGACCCGUCUUGAAACACGGACCAAGGAGUCUNACAGUUGUGCAAGUGUUUGGGUAAAAAACCCUUACGCGCAAUGAAAGUGAAUGAAGGUGAGAACUGUAAAAGGUGCAUCAUCGACCGAUCCUGAUGUCUUCAGAUGGAUNUGAGUAAGAGCAUGGCUGUUGGGACCCGAAAGAUGGUGAACUAUNCCUGAAUAGGGUGAAGCCAGAGGAAACUCUGGUNGANGCUCGCAGCGGNUCNG
rnacentral:rRNA from 1 species